rnacentral:rRNA from 1 species
UACGAAGGGGGCUAGCGUUGCUCGGAAUCACUGGGCGUAAAGGGUGCGUAGGCGGGUCUUUAAGUCAGGGGUGAAAUCCUGGAGCUCAACUCCAGAACUGCCUUUGAUACUGAGGAUCUUGAGUUCGGGAGAGGUGAGUGGAACUGCGAGUGUAGAGGUGAAAUUCGUAGAUAUCUGGAGGAACACCGGUGGCGAAGGCGGCAUCCUGGACCGACACUGACGCUGAGGCGCGAAAGCUAGGGUAGCAAACGGG